rnacentral:rRNA from 1 species
AUUGAACGCUGGCGGCAGGCCUAACACAUGCAAGUCGAGCGAGCGGCGGACGGGUGAGUAAUGUCUGGGAAACUGCCUGAUGGAGGGGGAUAACUACUGGAAACGGUAGCUAAUACCGCAUACCAUCAGAUGUGCCCAGCUGGGAUUAGCUAGUAGGUGGGGUAACGGCUCACCUAGGCGACGAUCCCUAGCUGGUCUGAGAGGAUGACCGGACACACGUGAGUUGGGACACGGUCCAGACUCCUACGGGAGGCAGCAGUGGGGAAUAUGGCACAAUGGGCGCAAGCCUGAUGCAGCCAGGCCGCGGGUGUGAAGAAGGCCUUCGGGUUGGAAAGCACUUGCAGCGGGGAGGCGUUACCCGCAGAAGAAGCACCGGCUAACUCCGUGCCAGCAGCCGCGGUAAUAC